rnacentral:misc_RNA from 1 species
AUGGUUAUUCAACAAUGAUGACCUCAAACAAUGUCAAGCAGAGCAUCAUGACUCCUCUCGGAUGGCACGACCAAGAUUUGUGGCAAGAGCUAGUCUAACAGAGCUCAAGGCCUGGGGUGGCAAGUCAGCUUCAAUGAAGUCUGGGUGCAGCCUUGCCAUCGACAACUCUUGCAGUUUAUUCAACAAGAGGUUUGUUUGAGACACAUUCAAUAAAGGUCGCUCCUGCCAGUUUAGCAGUUUCAACGAAUCAUAAAGAAUUGGCAGCCAGAAACGUUGAGGUGUAGAAGUGUUUUUCAUAAGCGACAUUAGUGAUUCCACAGCUUGCUGAGUAGCAUCAGUAAUUUUUCCAUCAUUAACCUGCUUAAGAGACCUCUUAAAAUCCCUAUACUUGUGCAGGAACUCAAGACCCCCAGAAGGCUUGGAUUCUGAACCCAGCAAUUCAAUUAAACCUUCCCAUUGCUUGAAACUUUCAUCGGAGAUUGACUUUCCAACAGAAUUAAACAGCUGCUGAGCAAUUCUGUUAAGACAAACUUCAUCCCGAGCUUGUUGAAGCCAAAAAACGCCAUAACCUUUCCUACCAUGUUUCCAAUGGUAUACUCCAGCAAUCUUCAUAAUGUUUGAGCUGACACUGUCAAGUUCAUAAAGACGGCAAAUCUCCAAAUUCUUAACCAGUAAUUGAUUAUGUUGAACAGGCUGCCUGUACAAUAAAAUCUCCAAUAAUCCCAUUCCCUGCUUCAUACAAGACAUCAAAUAAAUUGGAGCAAUCUGCAGACACAAAAGAAUCAGGAUGAGUGAAAUCUGCUAGUCAAUAAAAGGAAAGAAUAAAUUAUUCCUGGCAAAAAAAUGAGAAGCAUUUAAUAAGGGUAAAAAUGCCAAAACAGAGAGCAUAAUCGACAUAUUGAAUAAUAGCACAAAACCAUAUCAUUUUUUAACCAGAAAAGAGAUAUUCAUUCAUGAAGAUAAAGAGAACAUCCUAUCAGUAACCAAUAGAUUAGCUAACUGGGUAGGAGGAUUCGAAAGCCAACUCGAAGGUAAAGCAUCAGUCCUCACUUUACCAGCUACCCAGUGAGCACAUCCAUUAGCUGUUCUAGGGAUGAAUUUGACAGACCAAUAAGGAUGCACAAAUAAAAGACUUAUAAUAUCAUGAACUACUGCUUUUAUCUCCCAGUGAAUAGGAUCUAAAGGGAAAGUUAGACAAGCUGUCAACUGGAGAUAAACUGAUUCAAAAGAAAUAUGAGACCAUCCUCAAUUUCUAGCUAACCAUAAUGCAGCCCGAAGACCUUGGGCUUCUGCUACCAGAGAAGAGGAACAAAAAAGAGAAGCUGCAUAUCCAUCAAUUAAAGCCCCUGCUGAGUUACGAACUACAACACCAAUACCUGCUCUUCCAGAGGUUCUAACAAAAGAGGCAUCAACAUUAAUUUUGACACAAUUUUGGUCAGGGGGACGCCAUGCAGAGAACACAGGAAAAUGUUGAUUUGGCAAUGAGGGAUGAUGCAGGGCCACCAAGAAAAACAGCUCAUCAACAGCAUUCUUAGCUUUUGUAAUAGUAGAAACAGGAUCUGGGUGGUGAGAAUCAAAGACUCAUGCAUUUUCUAGACUUCCAAAUAUAUCAGCAAGUCAUAGCCACUGAAAUUAGAAUAUUAGAAGAAUUCAGAUGCACUAAUUCUCCUAAACCGAGCCACCAAAAAGAGAAUGAUGAGAAACCAAUCUCACUUGGUUGAAGACCUAGUGAAAAACCAAACCAAGUAGCUCUAGCAUGGGCACAGAAUAAAAGACAGUGUUCCACAGUCUCCACUUGGCUACUGCAGACUGGGCACAAUGGGGAAUCUGAACAUUUUCUACUAUACAAGUUGGCCUUUAAAGCAUUAUUGCAAGCCCUCCACAAGAACAGUUUCACUUCCAGGGAAUGAAUAGAGACCAUAAUUUUUGCCAAAACUGAGGAAGGAUAUCUCAGGAGGAAGAAGGAUGGGCUGUUGAAAUGCAAUCUUGCUGAUUAAAUUUAAGUCUGUUAUAAACAGCUUUGAUAAAAGGGAUGCCCAUACAAGAAUGAUGCCAAAUCAUAACAGGAUCUCUAUGACAGCCUCCAAGGGGGAUUUUAAGAAUUUCCAGACAUUCAGCAAGUGAAAAAGAAGGCCUACGAAUGUUAAUAUCCCACUAAUUCCUUGCUGUAAUUAAAUCAGCUAUGUAAACAAUAGGGUUAUCCCGUGGUCGAGGACUUGCAAUUUUAAAACCAGGGAGAGAUGGAAUCCAAGGCUCCUCCCACACAAUAAGAAACGAAGAGAUGAAACAUGCCAUCUCAAACCAUCUCUGGCAGCUUCUCUUCCUUGGAUAAGACUGGACCAACCCCACAAUGGAUGAGAUCCUGGAUUGGCACUCAUAAAGUCCGUGAAGGGAUAAUAGAUGCCUUUAAUCACCUUAACUCAGAGCAUCAGGAUUUUUUAACAUCCUCCAAGCUUGCUUGGCUGAUAAAGCAUCAUUAAACAGCAUCAAAUCUCAAAAACCAAUUCCACCAUCCUUUUUUCUUCUGGAUAACUUAUGCCAGCCUAAUCAGUGGAUGUUGGAUUUAUCUAGAGAAUGUUGCCACCAAAAUUUAGAAGCCAACUGAUGGAGGUCACAAAUCAAACCACUGGGAAGCUUGAAAACUGACAUGAUGUAAGCUGGAAUGGCAUGUAUUACAGCCUUAAUGAGAAUUUCUCGCCCUGCUAUGGUUAGAAACUUAGCUUUCCAACAAAACAGCUUAGCUCUAACUCAAUCCUUGAGAAAAUUCAAUGCUUGAGAUUUUGACCGACCCCAGGAAAGAGGAAUACCCAAAUAUUUGGAAAGCAUACUCGAAUUAGGUAUAUAAAGAACAGAUUCCACAGCUUGCUUCACUGAAUCAGGCGUGUUACCACUGAAAGUAAAAUCUGAUUUUUAAAGAUUAAUACGCUACCCUGAACAUUGACUAUAAUCAUCCAAAAUCCUCUUAAGAUGUUAAGCUUCCGACCGAGAGGAACAUCCAAAAAGGAUCGUAUCAUCUACAAACAGCAAAUGGGUCAAAGUUGGACAUCUUCUAUUGAUCUUAAAUCCUGAGAUAACAUUCCCAUUAACUGCAUGAUCCAACAUUCUAGAUAACACAUCCGAAACUAGAAGACAAAGGUAUGGUGAUAUACGAUCACCUCGAUGGAUACCUCUGCCCGGAUGGGAAAAACUAGAAAUGUCUCCGUUGAUCGGAAUAGCAUGCUCCACAGAAGAUAUACAAUGAUGAAUACAAAAGACACUGUCGUACGCCUUAUGGAUGUCAACUUUGAUAGCCAUAGCACACUGGUUCCCUUUCUGAUGCCUUCUCAACGCAACAAAAGCUUUGUGGGCCACCAAGAUAUUAUCUUGAAUGCUCCGAUUAGGCACAAAUGCAGAUUGCCAAGUCAAGAUAUGAGAAGAUAGAACUUGAGCAUAAAUAAGUCGAUGGAGCUCCUCUAUGUUGAUUCCCCCCAAGUUAUCACGCUCCUCAUGUAAAAGAACUUCUGCUUGAUCACUCCCAGCAGUCAAAAACUCUAUGGCAUGAGCUGCCAUCCAAGUGCCAAAAUCUCUUGAGCAUUCUGCUAAUAUAACCUCUGUAUUUUCCCCAAGAAUUCCUACAAUAAGCCGCAUCAACUUAUGUGGAAUGGUCAUUGGUUUCAACUGAAUGCAUUUCUGAGCUAGGCUGUACAUGCUUUCUAAACCAACAGUGAAUGGCCUUAUGUACAGAAUGUGAGAUAUAUACAGCUCCAUCCAAUUACAGGUUGCAGUUGAGAGAAUGCUAGCAUUUCCCAACAUGAUCUGAAGCAUAUUUUUCAAGCCCUCUCGAGUCUGAAGGUGAUCACACUGAAGCCAGAAUGCACUGGACUCCAACUUAGUUACUUGUGCUCGCCAUCUCUCCCAUGCCUUCAUAAAAUCAGGCUUGGUUUUAAAGCAUUCACCCAAUUUUCCAGCUCCUAAUUCUGGACGCAAGCGUGGCAUCUUUGAAAUAAGAACUGCAACAGCCUCUACAAGGCCAUUCUCCGUCUCUCUACUGCCAAGCUGAUCCAGUUGAUAAGAUCCAUGCAAUCGCAACAUUUUCACGGCAAUCUCUAGCCAACCAACUGCUAAGGCUGAAGAUAUCACCUCCCAGUAUCUAGAAUCAUCCUCAAUGACCAGUAAUGUGACCAGUAGUCCUUGAAACUCCAUGAGUUUCAAAUAGACAGUUGCCUGUGUAUCUGAUAGGAGGCUAUCAUAAUCCUGCGACAAAGAAAAUCAUAAGAAUAACAGAAGUAAUAAGAGGGUUCCAGAAAAUAAUUCCCAAAAAUUGAUCAAACAAAAGGUAAUCAUUACAGCCAACCAAUUGACAAGAAGCUCAGUCAGCCAUGCUUGGGACAGCUUGUCUGCAUUAAACAUCUCCAUCAGAUCCCAUGCAGCCUUUAAACAAGUUGGUUCCCUAACUUUCUACACAAAAUGAGUCAGAUAAUCGUACAGGAAGUGAUUUUAAGCCAGAAAAAGAAACUCACUUUACUAACACAUUUGAAUCAGAUAUUAACCUUUAAAACUUCCUUUGGGGCUUCAAUCACUGGACCAGCAGGUGACUUUUGGAUGACCAAGAAGUGAACUUAUGUCCUUGCUGUACUCCAUUACAUACUCCCACUUGAUUUUAACCAUCAGAAAAAAAUGAAUUACAAAUAAUUAUUACAUAAUUAGCAUCAUGAUCAUUUGAGCUUCGCUUAAGCAAUGGAAGUAAUAUAACAAUGUAAAGCGAAAUUUUUUUAAUCAAAAUUUAAUUACAAAAAAAAGCUAAAAUUGCAAAUCAAUUAUCAUUCAAGAUGAUAAGGGGAUGGACUUAAUUGCAUUUUUGACAAACUCAAAGCCGAGUUCCUGCUACUCUGAAGAAGCGCGAAAGGAGCCGCAUGCGAUCCUCCACCAUUGCGCACCACGAAGUUCUCCAUCUCCGUUGCCGCCUAGCUUCACCUCCAUCACUUUUUCCCAUCGUCAUCAAGGUCGGAUUCGAAGGGCGGUGGGCGAAAACUGAGACGCGCAGGGUGUUGCCUAGAGCCCAAGAGAUAGAUAUCACGGGAAAUUGGGGGCUUUAAGCCGUGGCGGAGCGGGCACACUACAACAACCUCAUAGUCUGACAAAAAGGGAACCAACGCACCGUUGAUCGAAUUUGACGUUCCACCUCCGCCGGAGUCAGUCGCGAGGCCGGGCAUUGCGAGGGAAGAGGCAGAGUGCCCCAUUUUUAUAUUUUUUAUUUUUUAAAGAAACUUUUUUUAAAAAAAUUUUAUUGGUAAAU